rnacentral:tRNA from 1 species
CGCGGAUUCGGCAAGUGGACAAAGCCACCUGACUUUCUAUCAGGUAUUUCAGGGGUUCAAAUCCCCUAUCCGUGA